rnacentral:rRNA from 1 species
AAAUGCAGUCGAACGAUGAUGCCCAGCUUGCUGGGCGGAUUAGUGGCGAACGGGUGAGUAAUACGUGAGUAACCUGCCCUUGACUCUGGGAUAAGCCUGGGAAACUGGGUCUAAUACUGGAUACUACCUCUUACCGCAUGGUGGGUGGUGGAAAGGGUUUUACUGGUUUUGGAUGGGCUCACGGCCUAUCAGCUUGUUGGUGGGGUAAUGGCUCACCAAGGCGACGACGGGUAGCCGGCCUGAGAGGGUGACCGGCCACACUGGGACUGAGACACGGCCCAGACUCCUACGGGAGGCAGCAGUGGGGAAUAUUGCACAAUGGGCGGAAGCCUGAUGCAGCGACGCCGCGUGAGGGAUGACGGCCUUCGGGUUGUAAACCUCUUUCAGUAGGGAAGAAGCGAGAGUGACGGUACCUGCAGAAGAAGCGCCGGCUAACUACGUGCCAGCAGCCGCGGUAAUACGUAGGGCGCAAGCGUUGUCCGGAAUUAUUGGGCGUAAAGAGCUCGUAGGCGGUUUGUCGCGUCUGCUGUGAAAGCCCGGGGCUCAACCCCGGGUCUGCAGUGGGUACGGGCAGACUAGAGUGCAGUAGGGGAGACUGGAAUUCCUGGUGUAGCGGUGAAAUGCGCAGAUAUCAGGAGGAACACCGAUGGCGAAGGCAGGUCUCUGGGCUGUUACUGACGCUGAGGAGCGAAAGCAUGGGGAGCGAACAGGAUUAGAUACCCUGGUAGUCCAUGCCGUAAACGUUGGGCACUAGGUGUGGGGGACAUUCCACGUUUUCCGCGCCGUAGCUAACGCAUUAAGUGCCCCGCCUGGGGAGUACGGCCGCAAGGCUAAAACUCA